rnacentral:rRNA from 1 species
UACGGAGGAUCCAAGCGUUAUCCGGAUUCACUGGGUUUAAAGGGUGCGUAGGUGGAAUGACAAGUCAGUGGUGAAAACCUGCAGCUUAACUGUAGAACUGCCAUUGAUACUGUUAUUCUUGAGUACAUUUGAUGUGAGUGGAAUGUGUCGUGUAGCGGUGAAAUGCUUAGAUAUGACACAGAACACCAAUUGCGAAGGCAGCUCACAAAACUGUAACUGACACUGAGGCACGAAAGCCGUGGGGAUCAA